UCCAGCUCGUACCAGCUGUCCUCUGUGCAUCGGAGGUCCUGGGUGUGGGGAGAGGAGAUCUUAACAACGGUGGUUUGAUAAGCAACGUGUGACGGAUGGAGGAACAACGAGGUCGAUAGGAAGAUUUACCCGAAGCUUUAAGACAAUGAAUCCCAGAAAGUCGUCUGCCCCCUUUUCCUUUUUGGCGUCUUUGAUCAUCCUAUGGAGACAGCAGUAGGAUUGGUCUUGUCUUCAUGUCUUAAUGUAAAGGCUUAAUGUAAAGGUAAGGGCAUCCCUUAAUGUUAAGGCUUAAUGUAAAGACCUCCCUUAAGGAGAGGGUCUCAGAGAAGUCCUCCUACCUUCUCAGACUGUUGAAGUUGGUCUUGAGGUCCUCCUACCUUUUCAGACUGUUGAAGUUGGUCUUGAUGUCCUCCUACCUUCUCAGACUGUUGAAGUUGGUCUUGAGGUCCUCCUACCUUCUCAGACUGUUGAAGUUGGUCUUGAGGUCCUCCUACCUUCUCAGACUGUUGAAGAUGCUCUUGAGGUCCUCCUACCUUCCCAGGCUGUUGAAGUUGGUUUUGAGGUCCUCCUACCUUCUCAGACUGUUGAAGUUGGUCUUGAGGUCCUCCUACCUUCUCAGACUGUUGAAGUUGGUCUUGAGGUCCUCUAGUUUCUGGGCCAGAGACAGCUGCUCAUCUCUGUCCCUGAAGGAGUAAACAGAGCCAGUGAGGAGGUGUGGAGGAGAGGGGAGAAGAGCUGCUGAUGAUGGGAACAACGAGAAAAACCGCACUCUGAAAGAUCGUCUCACCACAUCUCUAAGUGGAAACUCGCUCCUUCGGUGUCCUCAAACUCACUGGAGACAGGAACAACACAACCACAAGAACACACUGUUAAAGGGAU
ensembl:lncRNA